CGCUGGCGGCAGGCUUAACACAUGCAAGUCGAGCGCCCCGCAAGGGGAGCGGCAGACGGGUGAGUAACGCGUGGGAAUCUACCCAGCUCUACGGAAUAACUCAGGGAAACUUGUGCUAAUACCGUAUACGUCCGAUAGGAGAAAGAUUUAUCGGAGUUGGAUGAGCCCGCGUUGGAUUAGCUAGUUGGUGGGGUAAUGGCCUACCAAGGCGACGAUCCAUAGCUGGUCUGAGAGGAUGAUCAGCCACACUGGGACUGAGACACGGCCCAGACUCCUACGGGAGGCAGCAGUGGGGAAUAUUGGACAAUGGGCGCAAGCCUGAUCCACCAUGCCGCGUGAGUGAUGAAGGCCCUAUGGUUGUAAAACUCUUUCCCCGGGAAAAAAAUGCCGGAACCCGAAAGAACCCCGGCUACUUCGUGCCACAGCCGCGGUAAUACCAAGGGGGCUAGCGUUGUUCGGAAUUACUGGGCGUAAAGCGCACGUAGGCGGAUUGUUAAGUUAG
rnacentral:rRNA from 1 species